rnacentral:snRNA from 1 species
GUGUUUUCUUCAGCAGCACAUAUACUAAAACUGGAAUGAUACAGAGAUUACCAUGGCCCCUGUGCAAGGAUGACAUGCAAAUUCAUGAAGCAUUCUAUAUUUUU